rnacentral:rRNA from 1 species
CAGUCGCCACGGUAAUACAGAGGGUUCGAGCGUUAAUCGGAUUUACUGGGCGUAAAGCGUGCGUAGGCGGCUUUUUAAGUCGGAUGUGAAAUCCCUGAGCUUAACUUAGGAAUUGCAUUCGAUACUGGGAAGCUAGAGUAUGGGAGAGGAUGGUAGAAUUCCAGGUGUAGCGGUGAAAUGCGUAGAGAUCUGGAGGAAUACCGAUGGCGAAGGCAGCCAUCUGGCCUAAUACUGACGCUGAGGUACGAAAGCAUGGGGAGCAAACAGGAUUAGAUACCCGUGUAGUCCCUGUCUCUUAUAC